rnacentral:lncRNA from 1 species
GUAGCCCUGUUUCUCCUCUUCUCUCACCUUCUUCAAUCUUCACGCCACAAAGCCCAAAUUCAUCAUCGUCAAUUUGUCAUCAUCCUUGUCAAUAUUCAAGUAAUUCCCAAGCAUCAUCAUCAACAGCUCAUCAUCAUCCUCAAUAUUCAAUUCAUCCCGUCGUCGUUCUUCUUCAUCAAUUUGUCGCAUUGCCAUCCAUGAUUCACCAUCGUCUUCAUCGCGUCACCAUUCAUCUUGAUUACAUCAUCAACAUACAUGCUUCUUGGGAAUUAAUAGUGCUCUGAGGUGAUAUUAACAUAUGUGGGUCAGCUUUUAUCUCUAAAUCAUGAUUCAUUUCAAUUCAUUUAUAUUCAAGUUGUCUCGAUUGUAAAGAAUCUAUAAUCCUUUAAUCCAUUGGUGCUUGCGAUUUGAACUCUUUCUGGAAUUUUUCAUAACCUGAAACAAGUUUAUGUUUUUCAGUUCAUUCAGUUAUCCGGGUUUUAAACCCGACAUCCGGAAACCCGGAUUUCUCCGAGUUGAACCCGCACCGGACCCGGAGCCAAAAAAUCUGGGUUUAUAUCCGGAUCCGAAAUGCAAAAUUGUCAUCCGGGUCCGAAAUCGGGAAGGCUAAACCCAGACCUGGACUCGGAUUUUGCCAUCCCUAGAGUGGACCAUAUCAUAAUUAAAUAAAAAUAUCAUAGUAUAGGCGGCAUAGCCAACCAUAUAAAAAUUAAAUGAGAAAAUAUGAAAAUAUAGGCGGCAUAGCUGACCAUAUAAGGAUUAAAUAAGAAAAUAUCAAAUAUAGGUGGCAUAGCCAACCAUAUAAAGAUUAAACAAUAAAUAAUCACAUCAUAGUAGUCAUCAUAAGAUAAAAAAAUAAUUAAAGAUGAAUUUAAGUAUGGAAAGAACAUUAUUCGUAAACUACAGUUGAAGUGUUACUUAUCUCUUAAUCUUGACUUCUCUAGGCCCUCAUAAUUUGAGGAUUUCUCUAUUAUUUGAUGUUAUUACUUAGAAUAGAAGAGGACAGAAUUUCUAAAGUGAUAUAGAAAAUGAAAGGGCUAGGGGUACUUAUAGGAUUUUCUAAAGCUAAUGGAUGGUUAGGAUUUUACCACUAUAACUUUUGAUUAAUGGUUGAGAUUUAUCCUUGCAUAAAUAUCUCUGUAAAUUCUAGAAUUUAUUAAUAUUUUAUAGAUAUCUUGUUGCAUAAUUACUUAUGUCAUCGCUUAUGUCAUCAUUACUCUAGAAUUUUCUAUCAUAAAUAUUUUCUAUUAUUAUUAUUUUAAUAGGUAAGGGGACUUAUUAGCCUAAAAAUUAAUUCUACUAUAUUCAAAUGAGAAAUUUAUAUCUCACAAUUUCCUUCCCAUUACGAAAAUUUUAUGCUCGAAAUUGAUUUAUUGAAUAGCUCAGGAUACUUAUUCUUCAUAUUUUCUUCACGUUCCCAUGUUGCCUCCCCUAUCGAGCUAUUUCGUCAUAGUAUUUUAACUAGAAAAAUCUUCUUGCUUUUUAUCUCCUUUAUCUUUCUAUCAAAUACUUGGAUUGGACGUUCUCCAUAGGUUAAGUUUUCUCCUAGUUGAAAAGCCUUAUAAUCUAGCACAUGAGAGGGGGUCUGUAACAUAUUUCUUUAACAUGAAGAUAUGAAAAGAAAUUGUGUAUCCUUGACAAUGGUAGAAGAGCAAGUCGGUACGAAAUGUUCUUGACAUAUUCAAGUAUUUCAAAUGGUCCAAUAAACCUCGAAAUUAAAUUUCCUUUUACAAAUACCUUAUCACCAACUUGAAAUUCUGAAGGCCUUAAGCUCUUAUCUACAUGACUUUUCUGUUAACUUUGAGCUGCCUAUAUUCUUGGACGUAUUUUCUCGAUCGCCUUAGAUGAGACAACAAUGAGGCUGGGCCCAAGCUACCUUUGCUCGCCCAUUUCAUUCCAAUGAAUAGGUGACCUACAUUUUUUACCAUAUAGAGUUUCGUAGAGUGCCAUGCCGAUUAUUGCUUGAUAGCUAUUAUUGUAGGCAAAUGAAGCCAAAGGUAGAUAUUUGCUCUAUGAUAUUUGAAAGUCGAUAGUGCAUCCCCGUAAUAUAUCUUUUAGUGUCUAGAUCGUUGUUUCUAACAGACCAUUUGUUUGAGGGUAAAAUGUUGUACUAAAUUUUAAUUUUGUUCUCAUAGCUCUAUGUAACUUUUCCUAAAAUGUUGAGGUGAACCUUGUAUCUCGAUCAAAGAUAAUAGAAAUAGGUACACCAUAUAGUCUUACUAUCUCCUUUAUGUAUAUUUCUGCAAAUUGGUUUAUAGUGCACGUCAUUCAAAUAGGUAAAAAGUGAGCAGACUUUAUGAGUCAAUUGACGAUCAGCCAAAUGGCAUCAUGCAUUUCUUUUUCAAUUUUUUCAUUACUAUUGGUAUUUAUGCAAUUUUUUAGAAAGUUAAACUGCAAUGUGAGAGCUUAUGUGAAGAAGGUUCUAAGUAUUUGUUGCUUUCUUUCUUUUUUCCUUUUUGUUUGAUUUUGAAUCAUUUUUUUCAUUUCUUCUGGUUUGCACUCAUGCAGUUCAUCCAUUUUGUAAAUGUUGGAUAAGGAUCUAUAUGUUAAUUUGCAAUAUGCUAUUUUAGCUAAAACAAUUACCCAUGGUAUAAAGUAUUCUUUGGCUACCGGUAAUUAGGGCCAGUUAGAUGCGUUUAUUACAAGAACAAAAGUGUCAAAGAUUUUUUAUUUUUGAUCCAUUUGAAUACAUGAUAGUUUUUUUUGCUCACUCAAUUUCUACUUUGUAGCAUUCCUUGUAGUAUACCUUUUGAUUACAUUGAUCUUGUGGUCUUUCACAAAUGUUGAAUUACAGACAUGCGCCUCUACCUUGUCGCAUUUGCGAACACUGUGUUCUCCCAUAGGGCAAAAAGGUAAACUACUUAUUGUUGUGCAUGAUUUUGUUUUAUUGAGGGUUCAUUCAUGCUUAGUUUUGUUUUUCUUUUAUGCAUCACCAUGUUGUUAUUUUGUUAAUUUGUUGCAUAUAAUUAAUUGUUUUCACUUUAUUUUUCUAAAGAAGUUUUCAUUUACUAGGUACACAAGUAAAACCUAAGCUAGCACAUAAUACACAAUGGGGUAAGAUUUAUUCCUUUCCAACACUUUUAGGACAAGUAAGUUAAAAUUGUGCUUAUAGGAUAUAUCUAUAAUAUCUUUUUCUGAUUGUAGCUUACAAGAAUUUGUUUUGGUUAAUCCAGGCCUGUGGACUAGUGAAGAAUCUUGCUUUGAUAGUCAAUGUAACCCUCGGCUCAUUAGUAUUUCCCAUUAAUGAGUUAUUAGAAUAUGAGCCAAUAGUAGAAGCCAAGGUGCAUUUUGUAAUUUAUGGCACUUAGACGUUAAUUAUACAUAUUUCAUUCACAUUAUUUCAAUUUUCUCUUAAUUGUAGGAUGCUACUGCAAACUUUUUUCUACAAGCUACAAAAAUUUUUGUCAAUGGUUGCUGGGUGUCAUGCAUGAUGUUGGUUCAUUGGUCCAAGCUUUGAGACACUUGAAAAGAAAUGUCAUUAUACUUGUAUUUCAUCUAUUCGUAAAGAAACCUCUGUAUUAAAAGUUGGCAAACCUAUUGGUGUACUCUAAACUUUCUUUAGUAUUAUUUAUGCCAUUUCUGAACUAUUUUGUUUGUCUACCCAUGUACAAGACUUUAUAAAUGCUGCAAUUGGGGUUUCUAGGGAUAUCCAUUCAAAAGAAUUGUGUAUAUACACUGAUUUUGGUCGUUGUUGUCGUCCAUUGCUUAUUGUCCAGAAUCAAAGGCUUCUUAAAAAGAAGAAAGAUAUUGACGCCUUCUAUGACAAGGUUAGCCAAAUAGUUCUCUCUCUCUUUUUUAUUAAUGAUUUGUCUUUUCUGUAGUUACAUGACUUUUAUCUUGUUAAUCUUCUAGAAAUCUUCCGAAGAUGGUUGUUGGUGUGAUCUUUCUAAAAAAAGGGUUUAUAGAAUAUAUUGAUCCAUAAGAAGAAGAAACCAUAAUGAUUUGCAUGACAAUCAAUGUGAAUAAAAUGGUAUUGGUUGGUCGAAAACCUGUUAUCGUGAGACGUAAUUUUUAACUUGCUAAAAAUUUGAUUAACACAAAUUUGUUUCAGGAACUUGUAAAUGCAAAGCUUCGUCCAGAGGAGGCUACUUCUAAUGCAUACACGCAUUAUAAGAUUCAUCCAUCCUUGAUAUUGGGAGCUUAUGCUUCAAUUAUACCAUUUCCCGACCAUAAUCAGGUGCGUCAUGCUUAUGACAUUUCUAUGGUAAAAUAUGUUUAUAUAUUGACUCAAUCUCACCAAUUUUUUUUUUCUUUUUCUUGAUGGGGUUUGCUUUUAGUCCCCAUGUAAUACGUUUCAAGCUGUAAUGAGCAAGUAAGCAAUUGGAAUCUAUGCUACAAACUACCGAUGACAUAUGAUACUGUAUUUGGUUUCAAUUUUUUUGUGAUUGGAAGCUCAUAUUCAGCAUGUCAUAUAUAAUGAUAUUAUUUUUCCUUUAUAUGAAUUAGGAUGCUUUAGCCUAUGUUCUUUACUACCCUUAGAAACCACUACUUGCUGGGAAGCCAUAAAAUCGCUUCAAGUUAACCAACUUCCUACUGGUGUGGUGAGUAUAUAAUUUAAUGCUGCGUUAUUGUUGCUCCUUAUGAUCAUAGUUUUCUUAUAAUCUUUUUGUCUCUGUUAUUUGGUAUUAGAAUGCAAUAGUCACUAUUGCCUGUUAUGAUGGCUAUCAUCAAGGAAGUUUUGUUGUUAUGAACCAGUCAUCUAUGGAUUAAGGAUUAUUUCGAUCUCUUUUCCUUCCAUACAUCUAGGUAAGCUGUUGUUGAGUCAUUUUGUAUCUUAAUUAACACGACUCAAAAGUAUUGAUUACUUCCGAGUAUAAGAGUGUCUAAUUAUAAUAUAAUCCAGUGAGUUGGGGUUGAUCCACAAGGAAUCUAUAAAUCUAGUAGUCAUUAUUAAAAGGGAUAUUAUCAUUUUACUAUUAAAGUUAUUCUGACAUAUCAUGUCAAUACCAUGAUUUGCCGAAAAGUGCAUUUUACUACCAAACGUUUGUGCCGUUAUCAAUUCACUACUAUUCCCUUAAGAAUUUUAUGCAGUGUCCGUUGGGCCAGAGGUUUCAGCUGCGAUCCAAGAGAUUCUAAACUCUAAUUUGAUGUCGUCUGACUUCUUUUGCUCAUGGAUUUUAGAUAAAACUUCUGCGCUAAGUCUUGUUCAAAGUAUAAGUAUAGAAUUGAACUUGAUUCUGACUGAUUCCAUUGUUAAAAUGCAUGAGUUGUGUGGCUACUGGCUACUCUCCACUGAUGGUUUGCUGUCAUUGUACUUGUGCGUCAAAGAAGGCUUUCUUAAUAUUGUUGAGGAAAAUGUUGUCAGGUAAGGCUAAUCUGUUCACAUCUUGAAAUAAUUAUUUGAUGGUGAAUAUUUGUUAAAGUUAUCUAUUUUCUUUAUUUCUUAUGAUGAAGUAGAUUUGAUGUUGAGAAGAAAAAUAUUAGUGUUCAAUUGUGUGUUGAGUGAGUGGUUUAAAUGAGUAUUAAGAGUAAUUAAAAUUAUAUAGUAAUGUUAAAUUGUUCAUGAUAUUAGUUUAACGAAAGACUUCUUAAUUUUUUUAAUAAAAUUAAUAUAGUGUUCAAAGUGUAUUUUAUCAAUAAUGUUGACAUUCCUACAUUUGAGUCUUAAUUUUAUGUGUCAUUUGUUCAUUAGAUAAUAUAUUUUAUAAUUUAUAAAAUUAUUAUUUUAUUAUACAAUAAAUAAAUGACUCAUCAAUUAGGACUAAAUUGAAACAUAAAUGUUGAAUAUUACGUUUUGUUAAUGUUAAAGUGUAAUGGUCAUGUUAUGUAGCAAAAAUUCAUGUAUUUAUUUUUUAUUUAUUUUAUAAAAAUUCAGUUUUUCAUAUACAUAGAAGUUAGUAAAUUGAAAUUGUUUCUAUUAAACUGUUGAAGUGCAGGUGUGCAUUUGCUAUAUAUAUUAUUUUUCAGAAUCUUUUACUUUAAAAAAAAAAAAAAAAAAAAAAAGACUCGUACUUGAUAGGUAAUUAACUAGGAAAAAUAAAUAAAGAAGAAAGGUGGCAACUUAAGUUUAAUUUCAUUAAAAAUUAUGGGUAAAAUAUAUAAUUAAAUAUUUUGUUGAUAAUGAGACAAAAAGUUAUUUUAUGUGAUUUGAAGAAACAAAAGAGUAAUGGACACAUGUCUAAUGUACAAAGAGUAGGCGAGUAAGUCGCACUGACCGUAACACUAUUUAUAUAUACUGUUGUGGACCCGCCUGAGUUACAGUUCACGUAACACUACUCGACUUUUCUGGCUUCUUAAUGUAAACUAUCGUUGACCUCCUUAUACUUUAUAUUAUUAACAGUUUAUUCAUAAGUAUAUAAACUUUUCUGUAUUGUAAACUUUUGUUGAGCCCCUUACACUUUAUUUUAUUUUAUUGAAACCCUUAGAGUAUCAAAUUCGCCCCUAUAAUUUUUAAAUUCCCAAAAUACCCUCUAUUUAAUUUAAAAAUAUAAUUAUUAUUAAAUGUGUUAUUAUUAUAAUUAUAAUAAUUAUUUUAUUAUAAUUAUCAAUAUAAUUAUAAUUUUAAAUAGAUUAUUAUUAUUAUUAUCAUUAUUAACAAAAAUAAAAGUAUUAUAAUUAAAUAAUCUAUUAACGAUAAUUAAUAAUAAUUUUUUAGUUAAAUUAAUAAUAAUAAUAAUUAAAAUUUAUUAUUAUUAUUAAUUAAUUUUGAAUAAUAAUAAUAAUCAAAAUAAUUAAAAUAUAAAAUAAUAAUUAUGAUAAAAAUUAAUUAAGAAUUUUAUAGUAAUUUGCUACAAUUUAACUCAUUCCUAUUUUGAUUCUAAAACAAAGUAAAUACAUAAAUGGUAAUACAACUCAUUCUAAUUAUGAUUCCUCCAGUUCAAGUAAAUAAAUUAUUUUGAUUCCAAUUCCUCAUUUUGAUUCUAUCUAUUCCAAUUUUAACUCAUUAUGUUUUCAGCUAAUUUUGAUUCCUAUUUAGUGAAUGCACUAUAAAAUUGUAAACCACUCUAUAUUCAACUAGACCACUCUAUAUUAUUUACAAUUUAUUCAUAAGUAUUAUGAAACUUUCUUCUUACCUAUACUAUAAAAAUUCAAUUUAUCUCCCUACACUCUUUUUCAUUUACUAUUUUUUUAUAAGUGUCAAAAGAGUGUUUACAACCAUGACACAUUAGUUAUCAUAGCACACUAAUAUUAAUAAAAAGUUUUUUAAGAAUAUUACCAUUCAUCUUUUAUAUAAUAUAUUCUCAUAAUAAUUAAUACUUUCAUGAUAAAAGGAUUAACAAAAUAAAAAGUAAAUUCCCUUUGAAUCCAUCCCUCUCCACCAUUAACUUCUCUUUAUCAGCAACCUUCAUCGAUAAUUGAAGUCACCAUUAGGCUCAUCAAAGAGAAAGAGAGUACGAGAGGGGAAGAAGAAAUGGGAAAAAAAUAUGAGAUUUUCACAAUUUUAUAGUGCAUUCAUUAAGCAAGAAUCAAAAUUAGCUGGAAAAAUAAUGAGUUAUGAUCGAAAUGAGGAAUUGGAAUCAGAAUAAUUUAUUUACUUAAACUGCAGGAAUCAUAAUUAGAAUGAGUUGUAUUACCAUUUAUGCGUUUAUUUUGUCUUAGAAUUAAAAUCAGAAUGAAUUAAACAAAUUAUUAUAAAAUUCUUAAUUAAUUUUUAUCAUAAUUAAUAUUUUUUAUUUUAAUUAUUGUGAUUAUUAUUAUUUAAAAAUUAAUUAAUUAAUAAUAAUUAUUUUUAAUUAUUAUUAUUAUUAACAAUUUAACUAAAAAAUUAUUAUUAAUAUUGUUAAUAGAUUAAUUACUUAUAAUACUUUUAUUCUUGUUAAUAAUAAUAAUAAUAAUAAUCAUCAUCAUCCAUUUAAAAAAUAUAAUUAUAAUUAUAAUCUAUUUAAUAAUAAUUAUAUUUUUUUAAUUAAAUGGAUGGUAUUUUGGAAAUUUAAAAAUUAUAGGGGCGUAUUUGAUACUCUAAAGGUUCUAGUUAAAUUAAACAAAAAUUACAUACGUAUGUACAUACAUACAUAAAUUAUAGGGGCGUAUUUAAUAUCUAUAAAUUAAACAAAAAUUACAUUAAAUAUUUACACAUUGUCAUACAUACGUAUGUACAUACAUACAUACAUACAUACAUACAUAAUUUAUCGAUAUUAUAAAAUAUACAUAUCUACUAAAAUAUUACAUACACUAUUGAGGUUUUAAUUAUAUAUAUGUAAAUAAUAUUAUAUAUCAAUAUUAUAAAAUAUACAUGUCUACCAAUAUUUUAUACAUUUACAUUAUUAAAGCUCUAAAUAUAUUUAAAAUUUUAUAAAUAAAAUAUUGUGUCUAUAUUCAUCCUUUUAAAGAAUAAAAAUAAAAAAAAAUUAUUUUUAAUAUUUGAGUUUUGAUGAUAAGAAUCUGUAAAUUAUUUUAAAAUAUAAAAUAUAAUCAGGUCAUUGAUCGGAUAAAUGGGUUAAGAAUUUUAAUCAUAACCCGAUACGGAAAAAAAUUGUGUUGACCCAAACUCGAUCCAUUUAAUAAUCGUAUUAAAUUUAAUGACCCAUACUUAUUUAUUGGUGUCAUACUCGUGUCGAGUAAUCGGAUCGUAUCAAAUUUUAUCAGCUCUAGGUACAGCAACUCUUAUUUUCAUAAACAGACUUUUUGUCUUCUGCCCUUUUUUUUUUUUUGCCCUUUUUUAACUUUUUUUUUUGGUCCUUUUUUAACUAACAAUUAGUAAUACUACCAAUUACAUGUGACAACUGUAAGGAGUUCAUUGUCAACAAAAUAAUUAAGUCCAGAGAUUUGUUGUACCAUACUUGACAAAAUUCAACACAGUCUAAUAAAUGCUGAAAAGUGGAAACGGAACAAUUGCAGAGCGCCGGUGGAGCUCACCCGGCUAGAAGAUUAACAAAUUUCCUCCAUUAUUGUAGCCUAAAGACUUUUGAAGGCUAGAGACUUGUUCCGAAAUUUCAGCAUCCAUUUAGAUCGAGUAAAAACCAUCUUUCUCGGACGAUUACGAAGCAAUGGCUGUUGAAGAGCUCUUACUGUCUGCUUUCUUUCAAGUGUUGUUUGACAGAUUGGCUUCUGGUGAUUUUCUCACCUUUGUGGGUCAACUUCGAGGCGGGCUGGAUUCCGAGCUCAAAAAGUGGGAAAAAACUUUGAUAAUGAUACAGGCUGUGCUCAGUGAUGCAGAGGAGAAGCAACUGACGGACAGGGCUGUGAAGAUCUGGCUCGAUGAUCUCCGAGACUUGGCUUAUGACGCAGAGGACAUUCUUGAUGAGUUUGCUACUGAAGCUUUGAAUCAGAAGACGAUGGCAGAAAAUUCGAACCACAGUCCUGCUUGUUUCAACUGUUUUAGUCCAAGUUCUGUCAAGUUUAAAAUCGACAUGGAUUCCAAGAUUAAAAGUAUCACUAGCAGGUUGGAUGAACUAUGUGCUAAAAGAAUUGUACUUGGAUUGCAAUUGAUUCCUGGAGGGAUAUCAAAUGCCUGGAAGCGAAGACCGCCGAGUUCAAGUGUGCCAACGGAACGGGCUGUCUACGGCAGAGAUGAGGAUAAGGCCAGAAUACUUGAAAUGGUGUUAAGUGAUGAUCCAACCGCUGACGCCAACUUUUGUGUAAUACCAAUUGUCGGCAUGGCAGGGUCUGGAAAAACAACGCUUGCUCGGGAGGUCUACAACGACAGGGCUGUGCAAAAUUUCAAGUUUGAUGUGAAAGCAUGGGUUUGUGUUUCUGAUGAUUUUGAUGUUCUUAGCAUUUCGAGGGCUCUUCUCGAGUCAAUCACCUCCACAACUUGUGAUGUCAAGACGUUGAAUGAGGUGCAGGUUAAAUUGAAAAUUGCUGUGGAUGGAAAAAGGUUCUUGCUUGUAUUGGAUGACGUUUGGAAUGAGAACUACAACUUGUGGGAAAUCCUCAAAGCUCCCUUCAUGGCUGGUGCACCAAAUAGCAAAAUCAUUGUCACUACACGCCAUUCAAAUGUUGCGUCAACGAUGGGAUCCAUUGAACAUUAUAAUCUUAAGCUUCUGUCAGAUGAAGAUUGCUGGUCUGUUUUUGCGAAGCAUGCGUUUGAGAGUAGAGAUGCCGGUGCUCAUCAAUUUUCAGAAUUAUUUCGUAAGAAAAUUGUUGCAAAGUGCGGAGGCUUACCUUUAGCAGCAAGCACUCUUGGCGGCCUUUUACGCGCUAGACAUACAGAAGAUGCGUGGGAGGAUAUAUUGAGCAGCAAAAUGUGGGAUUUGCCUCAAGAAACUGACAUUCUCCCCGUGUUAAGGUUGAGCUACCAUUAUCUUCCUUCUUGUUUGAAGAGAUGCUUCACUUAUUGUGCGAUUUUUCCCAAAGAUUAUGAGUUCGAGAAGAAUGAACUUGUUUUUCUGUGGGUGGCUGAGGGUAUGAUUCAACAAUCAAUGACAGAUAAACGAUUGGAAGAUUUGGGCAAUGAGUUUUUUUGUGACCUCUUGUCUAGAUCACUUUUCCAACAAUCAAGCAGAGAUGGUUGUAAAUUUGUGAUGCACGACCUACUUCAUGAUUUAGCUCAAUUUGUUUCUGGAGAAACAGGUUUCUGGUUGGAAGAGGCAAAUAAGAAGUUAAGAACAUUCGAAAGGAUUCGUCAUUUUUCUUAUCCUCGUGCUUAUCAAGAUGGAAAAAACAAAUUUGAGGGUUUGAAUAAAGCCACAAGUCUGCGGACGUUUUUGCCUCUGAAAGUAAGAGUUUUUUCAUCUUGUUAUUAUAUAACCAACACGGUUCUUCUUGACUUGCUGCCAAAGCUCAAAAAGUUGAGGGUGCUAUCUUUAGAAGGAUACUGCAUUGCUCAUUUACCUAAUUCUAUCAAAGAUUUGAAGCUUCUAAGGUACCUCAAUCUUUCUGGUACAAUGAUCAAAAGUUUACCUGAGUCAAUAAGUUCACUGUUCAGCUUGCGGUUUUUGAUGUUAAGAGACUGUGAUCGUCUACAGAAGUUGCCUUCCAACAUGAGAAAUUUGAUUAAUUUGCAUCAUCUAGAUUUAAAGGGCGCACAUUUAUUAACAGAGAUGCCAUCGGGAAUGAAGACAUUGAAAUUUCUACAGACGUUGUCUGAUUUUAUUGUGGGUAGGGGUAUCGUAUCUGGCUUGAAGGAUUUGAAAAAUUUAACUUUCCUCCGUGGAGAACUUUGUAUUUCGAGAUUAGAAAAUGCGAAUAAUUCAUGGGAAGCAAGAGAAGCUUCAUUGUGCGAUAAGAAGUGUCUAGAGGCAUUGUCAUUAAAAUGGGGCUCUCCUCAUCAGUCGCGAAAUGUUAAUGAUCAGGCAGCAGAAGAAAAUGUACUUGAUAUGUUGCAGCCACACAAAAAUAUAAAGAAGCUAGAAAUCAUGCAGUAUGGUGGCAGGAGAUUUCCUGUAUGGUUAGGGGACCCAUCAUUCUCUAACAUGGUUGCUUUAAAAUUGAUAGGAUGUAAAAAUUGCACAUCCUUACCUGCUGUGGGGCAGUUGGUUUCCCUGAAAGAGCUUACAAUUGAAAGAAUGCUUGUACUCAGAAGUAUAGGGUUUGAAUUCUGUGGAAAGAAUUGCUUAAAGCCUUUUCAAUCCUUAGAGACUCUUUGCUUCAGUGGUUUGCCAGAAUGGGAGAUCUGGGAUACCGGCAACCAGACUGGGUAUACUGAAAUAUUCCCUCGCCUCGUUGAACUGUCCAUUUCUGGAUGCCCCAAACUAUCUGGAAAAUUACCCGACCAUCUUCCUGCAUUAGAGGCCCUUGUUGUCAGCUAUUGCGAAGAGCUGGUAGUUUCAUUCUCAAGCUUUCCUUUGCUCUGCAAAUUGGAAAUUUAUAGAUGCAAAGGACUGGUUUGCAGCUCUCCGAUUGACUCUAAGUUGAUAAAGCGUUUGACUAUUUCAAGCUGUUCUUUAGACAUAUGUGGAUGCAAAGGGAUGGUAUACAAUAGUCCACUUCACUCUAAAUCACUGUCGACGCCUGUGAAUAUUUCAAAUCUUUUAGAGUUUGGAAAAUUGUUAAAGCAAGGAUUUCUACCAGCAGAGUUUCUGGGGAUUGGCGAUUCUCAAGAUAUUCGGUCAUGGAGGCCCCAGUUUUUUCAGGGUAUGCAAUUUAGGGAGAAGGCAGCACAAGGGCUAUGGAUUAUCAUCGCCCCUGGAGAGGUAUCAACUGAAGAAAAAUGCAUGAGUCUGGUUUCAUUUCCAGAGGUAAAAUUUUUCCCGAUCAAUCGGCUUAAUCUUAAAAUUGAAAAUAGUGGAGCUUUAAAAUCCUCACUUGAGGGAAUGAUAUACAACUGUGCACAGCUGAAAAGUUUGGCCGUUGAAGGUUGUGAUUCUCUAGAAUACAUUGCAAGAGGCAAGCUGCCUUCGUCUUUAGAAUGGGUUCAAAUACUUGAUUGUAAGAAAUUGCAGUGUUUGUUAGUUGAUGAAGAGGAUGCUUCUGCUGCUUCUUCCUCAUUAUCCUCUUCAUCAAUGGCUCUCAAGUGGCUUGUAAUUAGCGGCUGCUCGGAGCUCACCCAUUUAUCAUCAAGAAGUAGACAAUUGCCAGAAGAGCUUGAAUAUCUCAACAUUGAGGACUGUCCAAAAUUAGAGUCGAUAGCCGAGAGCUUUCAUGGUAACGGACGAGUGAAAAUGAUUUUCAUCUCUAAUUGUGGAAACCUGAAAUCCAUACCGAAGGGCCAACAGAAUCUUAACUGUCUUAAGGAAAUCAAAAUCUUGAACUGUCCAAGUCUUGUUUCUUUUCCAGAAGGAGGGCUUCCCAGCACUGUUACAAAUGUUUCUAUUGGCAGUUGUGACAAGCUGAAAGCCCUACCCGAAGACAUGCACAAGCUCCAUUGCCUUCAAGAGUUAGAAAUCACGGAAUGUCCGAGUAUUGAAUCAUUUCCUGAAGCAGGCUUUCCUACCAACCUAACAUUACUUGUAAUUACUGAUACCAAAAUGUACAGGGCAAUUAUCCAAUGGGGCUUGCACAGGCUUACAUCUCUUCUACGCCUUUACAUACAUGGAGGUGAUAAUGCUGAGUCUUUUCCAGAUGAGAGGAUGGGAAUAAUAUUACCAACCUCUUUAAAUAGAUUGGGUAUUUCUGGAUUCCCAAGUCUGAAAUGCCUAUCUGCAAUGGGUUUUCAAAGCCUGGUCUCGCUUGAAUUUCUGAGAAUAUCCAAUUGCCCGAAGCUCAAAUCCUUUCCAGCGGUAGGCCUGCCACACUCACUUUUGCAGCUGCACAUUAGAGGUUGUCCUUUGCUGAAAAAGCAGUGCAAAAGGGACAAAGGAAAAGAUUGGUCCAAGAUUGCUCACAUCCCUUAUGUUAUGAUAGAUGGCAAAUUCAUCUUCGAUUAGAAAGAGAAAGAAUGAGCUCUGUUUAAUCUCAGAAUGAAGAAUUAAAGAAUUGCCUCCUUUGUUCCCUUAUCUUCUAUAAUCAGGUAUGCCAAUUCCUAUUAUCCGGGGUACUAAAAACACAUUGUUAAAUUAUAAACAUAUUUUGAUUUUCAAUUUCAAGAUCAAUCCUCUGCCUUCAACUGAAAAUGGCGCUAAAAUAUUUCAUUUUUACUUUUCUCAGACACUAUGAUACGGCAAUCUGACUUGAUGAUGCUGAAGUUUUUUAUGGUAAUGCACAAAUGGUUGGUAAGUACCUGAAAAUUUCAAGUUAUUUUAAUACUGUUUCCAUUUUCACUCAUCAGAAUUUUUUACGUAUUUUAUGCAAUCGUACUUGUCAAAUGAAGUUUUCAUUUUAUGAUGAUCUUGAUGCCAACUACAUUUCCAACUCUUUUAAGUUUUUGAACUCUUGCGAGUGAAAGUCAAUGAGAAGAAGUUUAUGACCUUUUCCAACGAUCAAUUCAAUUUGCUUCUAAGGAUAUAACAUUAGUCUUAACUUAUUUCAAGUAGCAGAUAUGAUUCUAUCUUUCUUCUGUUGUUUUUUCGGAGGCCAAGGUUGCUCACAUUCCUUGAGUUGACAUAGAAGGAAGCAUAAGGGAAGCUCUGAGACAAUCUACAUCAAAAUGUUCACCCACUCUUUCACAGUUUGGAAUGUACUACACUGCCUUCAAAAUGGACUUUUCGAAUCAAAAGGCAGAAAGGUAAUUAUACAGGGUUCAAAAGUCGGUUAAAAGUUAGUUUAAAAGCUUCUUAUUUUGUACAUGGAUCAUGGCAACAUUUGUUUUAUUUGGAUAUUAUUUGUUUUUAUACUGGCUUUUAGUUUAUUUUAGGUUCUCUGAGCAAAAUUUUAUCGUAAAUGCGAUUACUUGGAACACCAGUGUGCGUUUAAAAUGAAAUUGGGUCAUCUUAUCGCAAUUCUACGACCAAUCCAAAAAAAAUCCCCAACAAGAAAAUCAAGGAAAUCAGAUCAACUAGUGCAAGACUUGGCUUUGAGAAUAGAAGAAAACGAAACAUAAUCUUAUAUAUGGUGUCCAAAUUAAAGAAAAUUUGAGGACCAGUUCGGGAAAUCCCUAAUCAAAUUUUAGGAAGCUGGAUAACUUGCAGCCAGAAACCAAGUGAAUAAUAGAAUAAUUUGAGAGUUUUGUGGUAUGUAUUGUUAUGUCUAUAAUAGUAAUUUAAAUUUUGAACAAUUUUGUAAUAAAAGAAUUUUUUUUUUUUACAGGUGGAUCUAAUGUGUGUUUUGGCAGAUUAAAAUAACCGCACCAUUUUUUACAAUCACAUAAUGAGAAAAAUUACCAAAAUCCCCUUUAUUUUCUUAGAGAUUAAUCGUUUUAGAAAUUCACUAAAAUUUUUUAUAUUAAUUAUAUUUUAUUGAAGUAUCAAAUUAUUGCUAUAGCAUGCGAAAUCUUUUAAUGAGUUUUAAAACAUAAAGUAAAAAUGUUAAAUUUUAGCUAAUAAGAGUAGCAAUCGACAAUUCAUGGUGUAAAAAUAGCUGUAUCCACCAUUUAUAUAAAAUAGAAAAAUAGGAACCAAGAAUAUUUAAUGUACACAAUUUUUAUUUCCACUUACUCGCAUUUUUUACAUUCCUUUUUUUUCUUCAUUUUAGUUGGGGUGUUAGAUAAAUCCGUAUGGAUAUAUACUUAUUACAGUCAUUGUAGCGAUCCACAACAUUCUUGCACCACAUUAAAAAAGUGAGAGAGUAACUAAGAAAAAACCCAAAAAUCCACUUUUCAUUUUAUUAAGUUGAAUUUCUUGCACAGUCUUACUUCAUUAUUCAAAAUUUUUAACUUCCUCAUAUAUUUUAAUGUUAUUCUAUAUUUAAAUAUAUAUUUCUAGUGAUUAUAAAAGGUUCUGAAAGAUGAUACAAUGAAUAUGCCUUUUCAAGAAAAAAAUGGUAAAAAAGAAAUUAUACAAAAAUUUAGAAAACAAAAUUUGUUUACGUGUUUCAUGCAUCUAAAUGUGUUAUAAAUGUAAAACAAUAAAUUGAAAGGAUCUUUCACAAAUCUUUUCAUUUGAGAAGAUGAAAAUCUAUAACUAACACUUGAAUAAAUCAGGUUUAAGAAAACAAAAAAAAAAAACUAUUUUUCCUCGUGUAUAUAUAUAGCUUAAAAUUAUAAUCUUUUUUAUUUUCACCAAUUAGCUUUAAAUUUUAAAAAUCUUUUUUUAAUUAAAAAGAAAAGAGUUUGAAUAGAGAGUGGAAUUGGGGACUUCUAGGUUUGAAGUUUUUGGGAGUGAUGAAGAACUAAGAGCUGAAUAGCAUUGGGUGCAAAACAAUUGGCGUGGCUUUGGCUUUUUAUAGGACUUCAUUGUUCACGUUACUUAUUCGACACAUGGCUUCUCAUGGGUGGAAUUUGUUUUACAACUGACUUCACAAUUCACAUGUAGCUUUAACAACUUGGGACACAUGGCUUUGACGUGGGUUGAGUUUGUUGUAAUGGCUUCUCGUGGGUGGAGUCUUUUCUGUGAUUUGCGAUUGACUAAUUGGUAAAGGCAAACGAUUUGGACUAAUUACGUCCGAACUACGCAUGGGAACUUUAAGAGUGAAAUCUUGUUGCAGAUUGACGUGGUCAAGGUUACUAGGAGUGGUCUUAAGUUCAGAUUGACAUAGCGGUAAUAGACGAGGAAGAGGAAGAGACGAGGUUCAACUCGCAGAUGUAGCUUGAUGACGGAGCAGCUGGCGGAUUUUUAUUUCUUAUUACUCCCUCAAGUUUAAUUAGUUUCACAUAUUCGUUUUUACGUUUGAUCUUGGCACAUGUUUCAUUUUAACUAAAUAGAGAACCAGAAAAGAGCAGAUAACUAGAGCUGAGAGAUCUAUAUGUACAAUUAAAGACUCGUUAAAAUAAAUGAUUUCAAUACAAAAAAAAAUAAGGUUAAAGAAAUUACAUUUACAAUUGAUAGUUUGCUAAAGAACCGACUAAAAAAUAAACAAUAAAAAAACUUAACUUUCUAUACUGACUCAAUAAUGACAAAGUAUCGAUAAAAAAUGACAAAACUAUAUUGUAUCUUGGGAUUAUUCAUAUUGUAUGUAGUGUGCUAAUAAAUUAAAGAAAUUAAUGCUCCUGUGAAACCAAAAAAUAAUGUUCAAAAUCAUUCUCCAAAUUCAAUGUUAAAUUAACAACUUUUAGUAAGUUUACUUCUUCGAUUCUUUUUUUCUUUAAAUUUUUUAUGAAUAAACAUUUUUUUUAUACCGACUAUCUUUAUUUAUUUAUUUAUUUUAUAUCAAUCACGAGGUAUCUUGGGGAGGGCUCCAACUGUGGGAGGCACCUUUAAGCCCGUACCAUAACCCAGACUAGAAGUCUCCACUCGAACCGGGAGGCACAGGUUCUCCCAACAAAGGUGACUUUCCUGCGACUCGAACUGGGGAGCAAACCCAGUCAAGCCACUUAAGGGGACUCCAUUGCCAGUGGAGCCAACACUUUGUUGGUACCGACUAUCUUUAUUUUAAAGAAUAAGAAUGUCUGCCCAAAAAAUGAAACUCAAACCCAAAGGUAAACCACAUUUGCCAACUGCCAUUAAGAAAAAGGCGGUAGCAGAACAAUAUCAGCAAAAUCAUCAAAUUAAUUAUUAAUUGGUUUACAAUAAGAGGGUGAUGUUUCAUCUUACAGAAGCAAGGGGCAAAGCCAAUCCACCACUAGACUGGCAAAUCAAACGAAUACACAACUCUGCAACCACAGAAAAAAUCUUUAAAAUAGAGCAAACAUAAGAAAAGAUUUGCAUUCAUUCAACUUUCAACCUAAUGAUAUGUUAUAUGUAGCCCUCCAAUCUCCUUUUCUUUCGGCUUUGUAAAUUCUUUUUAGCCAAAAAUAUACUUGGAUCUGUCGGAUCUGAUGACACGAACACUUUUUAAGUGUUCAUCUGUCUGCUUAGUGGGAUAACGAUUCAAGGCCGUCGAUACUUUUGGAAACAAAGACAACCUUGAAGCUGAUCACCCGGGAUCACACCCCCACCUUUUGAUGUGUCAAUGGCCUCCCACAUUGAAACUCCUUAAUCCAUCUCAGGCCGCUUAUCAGGGUUAGUAUCCCAGCAUCUCUUCAUUACAUUUGCUUGAGAACUUGGGCAGCGUCUUGGUAUCUCCAGCGUCUCAGAUUCUGUUUCAAAAUGAAUGUAGACAGAAAUAAGAAAUGGGUUGCAUUUUGAGGUAUCAAUUUUUUUUUUUCCCCUUUUUUGAGGACCUGUUGAAAAUGGUCGAUUCUUAGAGAAAGAUAAUUACUGUACCCGGCGAACCACGGCUGAGGUGACUUCUGAGAAACUAAGGUCGGGAUAUGGCAUAUCACAGCAAUAUAUCUCCCAUACGCAGAUGCCAAAACUUUACACAUCACAUUUCCUAUUAUAUGGAUUGCCAUUCAGAACCUGAAACCAAGCCACUUGAUUCACUCAACUCAGAUUAAUACUGUCUCAUUAGCUAAAACAUUACAUCUGUAUUUCCACCAAACAAAAGAAAAAAAAAGCUCAUAGUAACACGGACAUUCCAAAGCCAACACAUCCCAUCAUCACAUCAAAUGAAGCAGAAAUUAACGGGAGAUGGUGCAAUCAAGAAUUUAUAGGAAAUGACCAUAUAUGUAUGACUGAUCUUCCAGACCUAUACCCCACUACAUUUUCCUUGAAACACAUAAAGAAAAACUAACAGCCAUGAAUUAUCUUUUUCUAGUAAAAGAAACUGACCUCAAAAUCACACUACAUAUAUGCAAGUAGAAAAGAAACAGAAAUAAAGUCUAUACCUCCGGAGCCAUGUAACCAAGCGUCUCCCCCCCCCCCCCCAAGUCAGGUCAUUAGGAUUUGGGGCUUCAACGCCGGCAACUACAAGAUCAGCAAUUUUUACAGUGCGAGUCUUGUUCAAUAAUAGCAUGUUCUCUGUUUUCACAUCUCUGUGGACAAUCUUCUGUGAAUGAAGGUUACUCAAUCUACAAAAUAUAAGUGCUGAGCUGAACAAGAUUUCGAGUCGCAAGCCAUCCUAUAGAGCCAUAGGGUAACAUAUGGUAGAAAAAUUACAAUUACUAAUGGGGUAGAUAUAGGUACCCUCCGUCGAGAUCAAGUGCUAGCUUGACAACCACUUUGAAAGCUAGUUUCCUUCUCCUGUGGUAAGUUUCAUUUCCUUCUAGAUUUUACCACAUGUGUUCAGCUUAAUUUCUUCCAAUUACUCCGAUUUAAGACCAAAUUAGACUUUCGAAUACGGGCUUAAGCAAUAUAUAUAAUGCAGAUGACCUAGGAAAUGGGCAAGGAUACUUGGUAAUAUGAAGGGACAAUUUGGAUGUGUUUGCAAAAAUGAAAAGACAGUAACCCUGAAAUAUUGGAUGCGAUUGAUGACUUGACGGUCAAUCUAAAGUUUUUUUUUUUUCUCUCUCUAAAUUUUUUAAAGCACUAAAUGCUUUCAGAUCCAUUUGCCAUCUAUAUUGAGUGUAUUCUAAUUAUAAUUCUAUCGUUGUUUGUCCUUUGAAAGCAAAUACGUACAAAACUGUAUUUAUCACUCUAUUUUAAACCCACCACCAAAAAUAUAAAAUAAAAUCAAAAUGUAUCUAUUAAAUUAAAUAAUUUGCACACACUACAGCUCUUAAUAGUCUGUCUACUUAUAAACUAAAGUUAUUUAUUAAUCAUGGUUAAUAUGAGAUGUGUGUAACAAAAAAACAACAAAUAGCUGGCUUGCUUUGCUCCAGAAAAAUCAUCGAGAUUUCGGUUAGGCAAACUGAGCAGUCCAAUUUUGGUACAAUAAUUUAUCUAACAAUUUUUAGUUUAGCAUUAAAUCAUAAUAUCGCUUUUUAUUAGCAUUAAUUUAAUUUCUUUUAAUUAAUGAUUAUGUUAUACGUAUAGUGUUACUCUCAUCAUCGUUUAACUUUUUUAAUCCACUACUGAUUAAUGGUUCAACAUAUUAUAAUUCAGAGAGAAUGACAAUUCCAUACCUCCUUUCUUUUUUUCCCUUUUUUUUUUGGCAUCACUUAGGUUUCUUGUAGAUUUUUAGUACCACAUUUUAUCAAUGACUAAAAAUGUUAAUUGAAAAAUUAUGCGGUUGACGGUAAAAUAUAGUUGGUUUAUUGAUGCACAAACUAAUACAUAAAAACGGGAGGUUGCUAUGUUACAGCAUCUGAACAUACACACCCAAAGCAAAUAGCACACGUGUCCCGACUUACAGAGAAACAGCAACGCAAAGCAAGGUUGGGGGGUUGCUGAAGCAGCAUCUGUAAGUUACUUACAGAUGCUGUGACUUAGUCAGCUCCCAUAAAAACGUAUUAACAUUGGGCCAGUUAAUGAGGUCCUUUCAUGCCGGCGCAACAUGAUCGUGCAAAUAUGAAAUUUUCACUGAACAUUGGUGAGCCAUGGUCCAAAACAACAACCGGACCAGUUAAUGAGGCUGGCUUAGUGUCUCUAAACAAGGACUAGCCCAAGUAUCAGUCAAUCAAGGCUUCGGUAGUUGGCAUCCCAAACCCAAUCAAGUGCUCUAUCCUAAAACUAAGAGUGGACCUUCUAACACCCCUUCAAAAUUCUUAUGAAACCUUUUUUUCCCAAUUAUUAUUAUUCUUAUUUUAAUACCAACAUACCCUUUUCUUAUUAAAUUCCAUUUACAAUUAUUUUAGUUUAUUCCAAUUUAAUUAUUUUAAGGCCUUAUUUGGUAAUGAGCUACUGUAAUUUUUACAGCUACUAUGAAAAAAACUGUAACUAUAAAAUAAAAGUUAAUAAUAUAUAAUAAAUAUAAUUUUUAAAGAAUGAUUUUGACAAAAUUAAUAAAGAUAUACUACACUUUUUAUCAUACAAGUAUAAAAUCAAAUCAACUUAGUUUCUUAGCUAUAAUAGUUGGUAUUUACUAAAUAUUUUAGUACGGUAAAAAUUACAGCUACCCAACAUAAAUUCCAAAUAAAUACUUAAAUUAGAUAGAGGCGAUGAGUUUGCAAAACUAUGUAAACUUAAGCGGAGCUUCUUGAUGGUUCCUCCAAUCGCAGUCAUGAUAGCAAAUGUUGAACUUGGAAAAACAUAAGCUGCCGAACUCAAUAAGCAUUUGGAAUAGAUAGUACAUCAUGUAGUUUUAAAACCAGUUUUUUUUUUUUUUAACUUUUCUGACCGGUGAAACAAACCAAUGUCUUACUUUUGGUCUUUUGGAUAGAUGAGUCAAAAAAAAAAAAAAGCACUCGUUGAUUUUUCAGAUUUAGAGAGAGAGAAGCGAUCGAAGAGUUUGUAGAGAAAAUAAGAAUACCCUAGGUGUGAAACGUGUAGAUGAGUUUGUUCUUCAAUAGCAGGGUAUUAAUAGCUGUAUUGUAAGGCAAAUAGAUUGUCCCUUAAGCCCAUUGAAACUCGGCCUAUAUCUAAGGAAUAAGUAGACUUUAAUUCUCAAGCUGAUUUGGGGGACACUGGGCCAGGCUGGCUUCGUUUUGUUUUUUGUUUUCUCUCGCAAAUAAAAUUACCAAUUUAAAGUAAGGCUUUGGCUACUUUAGAGUUUGUCUAAAGCAAAGUAAGAAUCACAGCCACAUAGAUAAAAUGAUAAAUAUUAAAAAAAUUAUUAUAACUUUGAUCAUAUGGUUAUAAUAAAUUGUUUUACCUUAAAGCAAUUCUAAUAUAAUCGAACCCAAUCCCAAUUAGUUAUAAACAUAAAGUUUCACUAAUGUCGUGUGUGUUUUCAUGUGUCAAAAUUAUAAUUAUUGAUUUACUUCUAAAUAUGUAACGCACUACGAGCAUAAACUAUCGAAAUCGUACCAUUAUUAUAAAUCUAUUCUAAUCUAUGAGGCUUUUAAUUGAAAAUAUAAUAGAUUAUAUUGUAAUUCAAAAUAAAAACGUAUAAAUGUCAAAUAAUAAGUUAACAUACGAGUGCAGUAUCACACAAAUUUUUCUCGGUGCACGCAUUGCCAACUUGGAAAAUCUACUCAACUAAUACUUCCUUCUCUUUACUGUUGCAUUGAUUUUAAAAAGUUAAUUUUAGCGGUCUUGCUACAAUGCACCAGCUGCACCAUCUAACAAGUUUUACAUUGUCCUUAACAAAUUAUUCAUUCAUAAUCGUUGAUUCACUAUAUUAUUUUUAUACAUAACAUGUUUUUGUAAUACAUAUAGUAAAUUAUGUAUACAACGAAAAAGUUAUUAUCAAUUAAAAAAAAAAAUUACGGAUGUACGGUGCAGCAUGCUGCGCCAUAAUCACACACUAAAUUAUUAAAAUAAUGAAUAAAUUAAAAGAUAAAUAAAACGUACAUUUUAAAUAAAAUAUUUUAUUUUUUAAUGCAUUAAAAUAUGUGUUUUACAUACCUUUUAAAUUAUUUCUUAUUUUAAUAAUUUAAAAAAUCUUUCAUUCAAAAUUUAUUCUAUACAUAUAUUAAGUUGGCCCAUUUUGAUAACAUAAUAUUUACAUGCAUGAACUUGAUCACUAACACAUAUAUUACAUGAGUCGCACCUGAUGAAAAUUCCAUAUGAUAUAUAUUCAAGUGAUCCAGAUCGAUAGACAAAUUAAUUGUACCAUGUUACAGUUAAAAUUGGAAAAUAAUAGAUUGGUACAUCUUCCUUUUAUGUGGCAAAAUAAUAUAUAUAGUACAUUUUUCCUUUUACGUGGCCCUCAUGACGUCAAGGUAUAAAUCAUCAUGUGACAGUGAUUUAAUGUGGACAUCUAAUGGACCACCAAUAUAUUCAACACUGAAAGUUAAAUCAAUUUUUGUCUUUUAACAAUUGUUUGUCAACAAUUUAUGGUCCUAAUUUUAACAUAAUGUGAACGUUCAAAGAAGACAAAAUACUAGAGAAUUUAGCAACCUAUUUUUCCACGCGAGGACUCAAGCUCCCCCUCCAUUGCCUUUGCAUUUAUUUUUCAGUAAUAUCACUUUUUACUUUAUAUAUGAGAUUUUUAAAAGUAGAUUUAGUAUUCAGAUUGCGUAUAGAUAUCUAGAGUGCCAACGAACUAUAUAAGCUCUGCAUAAAGGAACUUUUUUUAUUCUAAGCUCUCUAGCUUUCAAUGGUCUUAUUCUACAUUUUAAUCGUAUAAUAAUAUUGUAUAAUUGAGAUUUAACUGUUAUUAUUAUAUUUUAACUUACUAACCACGAAUUAUUUACGUAAAAGUUACUCAAAAAGAACUCAUAUUAGGAGGGAAUAUGGUCAGUAAGUAACUAAAGUAUGCCACAACAAAAAAUGAUUUAGAUAUGCUAACGGUAAAUCUUAACUAAUGCUUGUACUACUUAUACAUGUACGUUUGUACUACCAAUGGUGAAGCCAGAAGUGUCCAGUCUGAGCAAGUACUACCUUAUUAAGUUAAUUUUCUCCCAAAACUUCAAUCCAGAAAGUGUGAGAAAUGACAAGCACCGUGCUUCAAUUUUCCCCUAAAAAAGAAACAAGCAAGAAAAGAAAAAGCACACGCUAUACUUUUUAGUUCAACUUCCUCGGUGCUUUAAAGCUCUUUGGGAGCUGCUGUCGAAGUGUACUCGGCAAAGGUUAGCCUGGGUCCAAUUGUUCUCAUUUGCAGGUCAGAUCUAAAAUUGGGUCAGCAAGAUAAUUGCAUAAUUGAACCCAAUUCAACCACCAUAAUUGUUUUAGAAAGACUGAUAUGCGUUUAUAAUUGGUUUUGGUAUAUCACCAUUGUUCAUAUUUCACCAUCAGUGUGACAGCAUUUUUUUUUUUAAGUAUAGUGAAUGAACAGAGAAAUUUGUCGGCAAGCUUAUCCCAACUCCUUGAUUGCUAGUUUAAGUGUCUAUUCACAUCAAUGAGCCAAUUGGAUUCAUCUCAUUACCGGUAUUUAAGGUCAAUUUUUUUAACUUAAAUCUAAUAUGUUAUUAUACAACUUAAACGAUAAUCCCAAGUUUUUUUAAACUUUUUACUUUUGUAUGAUCAAAUAAAAAUCAGUUAGGUUGCAGUAGCCGACACAAGAUAACUAAAAACAGAACAAAUUUCAUGAAAAGUUCAUAAAAAAAGUCUUUAAAAAUAAUUGCUUUAUACUAUGAAAAUAAAAAAAGAAAAGUGCUUCCCGCACAUUUUGAUGUGCUAUGAAAUAUCACAUAUACUUAAUUUUUUGUCUCAACUAGGGUUGGUAAUUUAUCGGGUCAAGCCGAGCCUGAAUCCGACCCUAUAACACAACUAAAUGGCCAUAAUCCUACAAAAAAAUCUUAUUGUUUCACUUUCUACCCGUCGGGCUUUAAAAAAGCCCGAACCCUACCAAUUUUUAAAUAACCAACUUUGAUAUCGUAAAUUUAGAUUUAUAUAAACAAAUGCAAAUCUACAACCUAUCUUAUUCUAACUAUUAAAAGUAAUGCUUUCCAUGAUUUUCAUAAGCAAUAUGAAAUUUGUAGUGUUUUGAUUGCCUCAAAAAAUCCCAACUAAUCAAACACUGCCCAAGAACUUUGUCAAGAUAAAUUCAAGUUGCAUAUGAAUCAAAUGACCAACCUUGAUGACUCAAUGAUUAACAAGAACCUAGUAAACGAAUUUUAGAGACCAGAAACACAAGUAUCAAGCUAAAUUAGCAACCAAAACACACAGAAAAGAAUACUGAUUUUACGUGGUUCAAUUGUGCAAAGAAGCACAAUCUACCAGAAUGAGUUUUUACUGAUGAUUCAAGUUGAAUUUAUAAAGCUUUUACAGAAUAGAUGACAAGAAAAGGGAAGACUCUCUCUCUGUCUCUUAAAUCUCUCUAGAACGCUCUUAAUUCCUCACUGAAACUGCCUCAACAAUCAGCUUUGUAUAACAGCCGAUAACAAACCGGAUUGCACCAGUUUCUGCCACGUGGAUAACGGCCUGCAACAAUCUUGAUUCCCCCUCACAUGCUUAAUCACGUGCAUGACUUAAGUCUGAGCCAAAACGUCUUCAUGUCUUGCCGGUUAUUAAGUGAGUCACACGUCCAUCACGUGACAGCUUGAAACAAAUUGAUAGGAAAAACGAUGCCGUUUCACAUGUCCAAGUUUUAAAUUCAGCAAAUUAGUCCACAAAAUUAAAGUUAUUUAUUUAUUUUUUAUCCAAGGACAACUCUUUGCUCAAACCAAAAACUCUUGAUCUUGAAUAUCUUUAUAAUCACAGAGAGCCACCUGAAGCUUGGCUGCUCAUCAGCCUCGCUUGGAUUCAACCACUUGAGAGGACACCAACAUCAGUUUUUGCAUCUGAUGCUCUGCCAAUAUUUCCCUCGUCAAUCCUUCUGCAUUGGAAGCAUAAAACAUUAAAGAAAACACUGAUAAUAAAAAAUUAAGUGACAAUUCAAAAUGUUAUACAGUUCAUGUUAAUUAUUAAACUCUAACAAGACAAGAAAGAAAUUAAGAACAUUAAUUGUGAAAAAAAGUGAAAUAUUGAUUCAAAAUUAUAGAUCUUAAUGUAUGAAGCUAUAAAGGAAGCGCCUAGAGGAUCUGUUUUGUGAUGAAAAUUUAAAAUUUAUGUUUUAAAAUAAUAAUAAUAUUUUGAAAAUUUGCACAUGUAAAAAAAUAUAGAAAUGUGUGAAUAUGUUUUCAUUUAGGUGGUAAUUUUGCUCGCCUAAUCAUAAUUCUUUUUGAUGUUGUCUGAAAAUAAAAAAAAUAAUUGAAUAUUAUUUAGAGAUAUAUACUAAAUAAUUUAUUAAAAAAAGUUUACAAUCUAUAUACAAAUUAUGAUCUAUAAUUUAAUGAGAUUCUGUAUAAUUGCACUUUAAAUUUAUAGUACAAUCCAGAAGUUUUUCGAAAAUUAACUUAGAAAUCUACUCUCAUAAAUAUACAAAAAGAUAUGUACGAUAUUUUAAAUUAAAAAUAUAAUAUUAUAAUUCAUUAUUAAUUUGGUUUGUAUUAAUGGGAAUCUUCCUUGCAUUCUUCUUUUAGUUGUGCCAAGGAUAUCCUUGAAAAGGAAAUGCUUCCUCAUGUUCCUAUGACUGAAUUCUCUAGAACUAAGAAAGCUUAUUAUUUUGGGUAACUAUAAUCCUUCUAUAUAUUAUCAUUGUCAUUACUUUAGAGUAGUUACAGUUCUUAUUGAUCCUUUCUUCAGCUAUAUUAAUUAUACAUCGGCUUCUUCUUUGUGCAUUUGGCCGGUGGGUUAAAGAUGAUAGAUAUCAUUAUGGCAACAAGAGGUUGGACCUUGCUGGUUCAUUACUUAGAAGGCUUGUUUAGGAUGGUUUGUUUCAUUUUUGUGUUGAGGUAGUUGACUUUACUUGUGAUCAUACGAAUGAAGAUGUAUCUCUUUUCUUUUAACACCCCACUUUUAUAACUAAAAUAAGAUGAUGUAUUUUAAAAUAUUUAAAAUCUCAAUAUUUUUUUAAUAUAAAUACGGAUAAUUAAAAAUUUUACAUGAUAAGCAGAAACUUCAUUACAAAAUAUAAGAGACACAUAGAGAUUCCUUAGUAUAUAUUUCAAAACUUCGUUAUUAUGUAAGAGAAUUUAAGAUAUUUAUUUUUUAUAACAACACGACUAAGCCCAUCACAGUCCAACGGUUUGACAUGCCCAUAUGCAUUUCAUCUUGGUUGGGACUUGGCUUCAGCUUGAUCUACUCAUUAUUACUUGCAAUGUAAGGAUUGCAUGAGCCAAUACCUAGUAAGAUAACAUGCAAGUAUAAAUUGUUAUGCACAUGGAUGAGCUUAUGAACAUUAAAUAUCUAAAAGAAACAUAGAAAUAUAAAACAACUUUGUUAGGGCCCUACGUACAUUGCACGACAAGGUUGGCAAUUUUCAUUCUUUAAAAUAGCAUCCCCUUAGGCCUAAAUUAAUAAUUGAUCUUUGGGCAUUGCAUAUCGCCGUCCCCAAAAGAUUACUCUUUAUUUAGCUUUGAGGGCUUGCCCUUCUUGGAUAUUUUACCACCCUAGUAGUACAACAAUCCAUUGUUCAAGACUCAUUUUUUAAAAUGUCUUCUUUGUAAAGUAAUCUUAACAUAUUAACAUGAAAUGCAUGUGUUCAAUGCAACCUAUAUCAUGACAUGUAAUGUUCCUAGAUAUAUAACAAAGCCAACCAUACAAAGUUUUCUAAAGACAACAAUCUUUAGUAUAGGCAGCAGUGCCGUCCAUAUAAAGAUUAAAUAAAAAACGUUAUUAUAAUAUAGAUGGGAGAGUGGACUAGGGGUGGCAAAAUAACCUAGACCCAGCCCGGACCCGGAUGAACCCAGAUUAUCCGGUGCGGGUUGAACCCGGUCCAGAGAUAAAAAUAAUGCGGAUCCGGAAUUCAUUUUAUAAACCCGGACAUAUCCGGGUUCGGAUCCAGGUUUACGUAAACCCAGAUCUCCGAAACCCGGACCCGGAUAUCUUUAUUUUAAAAUUUAUUAAAUAAUUAAUUUUAAGUUAUUAAAUCUAAAUAUAAAAGUAAAAAAAAAAAGGAAAAGAAAAGAAACCCUAAAACAAACUGCAGUAGCAGCAGCCCUAUUUCUCCUCUUCUCUCACCUUCUUCAAUCUUCACGCCACAAAGCCCAAAUUCAGCAUCGUCAAUUUGUCAUCAUCCUUGUUAAUAUUCAAGUAAUUCCCAAGCAUCAUCAUCAACAGCUCAUCAUCAACCUCAAUAUUCAAUUCAUCCCGUCACCAUUCUUCUUCAUCAAUUUGUCGUGUCGCCGUCCAUGAUUCACCAUCGUCUUCAUCGCGUCACCAUUCAUCUUGAUUACAUCAUCAACAUACAUGCUUCUUGGGAAUUAAUAGUGCUCUGAGGUGAUAUUAACAUAUGUGGGUCAGCUUUUAUCUCUAAAUCAUGAUUCAUUUCAAUUCAUUUAUAUUCAAGUUGUCUCGAUUGUAAAGAAUCUAUAAUCUUUUAAUUCAUUGGUGCUUGCGAUUUGAACUCUUUCUAGAAUUUUUCAUAACCUGAAACGGGUUUCUGUUUUUCAGUUCAUUUAGUUAUCCGGGUUUAAACCUGACAUCCGGAAACCCGAAUUUCUCCGAGUUGAACCCGCACCGGACCCGGAGCCAAAAAAUCCGGGUUUAUAUCCGGAUCCGAAAUGCAAAAUUGUCAUCCGGGUCCGAAACCGGGAAGGCUAAACCCGGACCUGGACCCAGAUUUUGCCAUCCCUAGAGUGGACCAUAUCAUAAUUAAAUAAAAAUAUCACAGUAUAGGCGGCAUAGCCAACCAUAUAAAAAUUAAAUGAGAAAAUAUGAAAAUAUAGGCGGCAUAGCUGACCAUAUAAGGAUUAAAUAAGAAAAUAUCAAAUAUAGGUGGCAUAGCCAACCAUAUAAAGAUUAAACAAUAAAUAAUCACAUCAUAGUAGUCAUCAUAAGAUAAAAAAAUAAUUAAAGAUGAAUUUAAGUAUGGAAAGAACAUUAUCCGUAAACUACAGUUGAAGUGUUACUUACCUCUUAAUUUUGACUUCUCUAGGCCCUCAUAAUUUGAGGAUUUAUCUAUUGUUUGAUGUUAUUACUUAGAAUAGAAGAGGACAGAAUUUCUAAAGUGAUAUAGAAAAUGAAAGGGCUAGGGGUACUUAUAGGAUUUCCUAAAGCUAAUGGAUGGUUAAGAUUUUACCACUAUAACUUUUGAUUAAUGGUUGAGAUUUAUCCUUCCAUAAAUAUCUUUGUAAAUUCUAGAAUUUAUAAAUAUUUUAUAGAUAUCUUGUUGCAUAAUUACUUAUGUCAUCACUUAUGUCAUCAUGACUCUAGAGUUUUCUAUCAUAAAUAUUUUCUAUUAUUAUUAUUUUAAUAGGUAAGGGGAUUUAUUAGCCUAAAAAUUAAUUCUACUAUAUUCAAAUGAGAAAUUUAUAUCUCACAAUUGCCUCCCCAUUAAGAAAAUUUUAUGCUCGAAAUUGAUUUAUUGAAUAGCUCAGGAUACUUAUUCUUUAUAUUUUCUUCACGUUCCCAUGUUGCCUCCCCC